UCCCUGGAGGUUGAGUGGUUAAGACUCUGCACUUCCACUGCAGAGGGCAUGGGUUCAAUCCCUGGUCAGGGAA
rfam:TPA: Bos taurus chromosome 21, whole genome shotgun sequence.